rnacentral:rRNA from 1 species
UACGAAGGGGGCUAGCGUUGUUCGGAAUUACUGGGCGUAAAGCGCACGUAGGCGGAUUGUUAAGUCGGGGGUGAAAUCCCGGGGCUCAACCCCGGAACUGCCUUCGAUACUGGCGAUCUCGAGUCCGGAAGAGGUUAGUGGAAUUCCCAGUGUAGAGGUGAAAUUCGUAGAUAUUCGCAAGAACACCAGUGGCGAAGGCGGCUCACUGGCCCGGUACUGACGCUGAGGUGCGAAAGCGUGGGGAGCAAACAGG